rnacentral:rRNA from 1 species
UAUGACAUAAAACUCAUUUAUUAUAAUUAUAAAUAUAAGAAAUUUAACUCACAUUUUUAGUAUAGCAAUAGAAAUAUUUAAAUAUUAAAAAGUAAAUAUAU